GGGUCAGUAGGUUGGUCAUGCCACUGGUAUGUACUGGUCUCACUGAUUCCUCCUUCCUGAUGAGCCGUAAUGCCAUUAAUUUGGUGUUGCGAGGAAUCUGGACUGUUACUUUGAAAAAAUUAGAGUGUUUAAAGCAGGCAUUAUUUGCUUGAAUACAUUAGCAUGGAAUAAUAAAAUAGGACGGCAUGAUUCUAUUUUGUUGGUUUCUAGGAUCACCGUA
rnacentral:rRNA from 1 species